rnacentral:lncRNA from 1 species
AUAUAUAUAUAUAUAUAUAUAGAACUAGGCCACUAUGCUAUUAAUAGCACAAAGUCAUUGGUGCUAUCAAGUUUUGGCCAUUGAAUUAAAAAAUGUGUGGUUAGGAUGAUAUGGGCCAUCUAGGGUUGAGCGGGUGGUUAGUUGAAUAGUAUAAUCUAACGGGUGAAAAUUAUCAAAAUGGUAGAUUUAACGGCAGAAAACUUGAUAGCACCAAGUGUUUUGUACUAUUAAUAGUAUAGUAGCCGGACUCUAUAUAUAUACACACACACAUCCAAACUGA